CGGCGACACUCUGGAAAGCAGCCCGAUCCGGGAUUCCGGCGAUGGGCUCACCGAAGGAGUAGCCGCGUCUGUCGCAUCGGCAGAAGCGGGAAAUCUCUCAGGUUCUCGGACAGAGGGGGCGCG
rnacentral:ncRNA from 2 species